rnacentral:rRNA from 1 species
CGGGGGGGCAAGCGUUGUUCGGAACUACUGGGCGUAAAGGGCUCGUAGGUGGCCAACUAAGUCAGACGUGAAAUCCCUCGGCUUAACCGGGGAACUGCAUCUGAUACUGGAUGGCUUGAGUUUGGGAGAGGGACGCGGAAUUCCAGGUGUAGCGGUGAAAUGCGUAGAUAUCUGGAGGAACACCGGUGGCGAAGGCGGCGUCCUGGACCAACACUGACACUGAUGAGCGAAAGCCAGGGGAGCAAACGGGAUUAGAUACCCCGGUAGUCCUGGCCCUAAACGAUGAAUGCUUGGUGUGGCGGGUAUCGAUCCCUGCCGUGCCGAAGCUAACGCAUUAAGCAUUCCGCCUGGGGAGUACGGUCGCAAGGCUG